rnacentral:rRNA from 1 species
GGUGAACGCUGGCGGCGUGCUUAAGACAUGCAAGUCGAACGGGCUCUUCGGAGCCAGUGGCGCACGGGUGAGUAACGCGUAACUGACCUACCCCAAAGUCGCGGAUAACGAUUCGAAAGAAUCGCUAAUACGUGAUGUGCUGUCAGAUCCUGUUCUGCCAGUAAAGAUUUAUUGCUUUGGGAUGGGGUUGCGUUCCAUCAGCUAGUUGGUGGGGUAAAGGCCCACUAAGGCGACGACGGAUCGCCGGCCUGAGAGGGUGGCCGGCCACAGGGGCACUGAGACACGGGUCCCACUCCUACGGGAGGCAGCAGUUAGGAAUCUUCCACAAUGGCGAAAGCCUGAUGGAGCGACGCCGCGUGAGGGAUGAAGGUCUUCGGAUCGUAAACCUCUGAAUCAGGGACGAAAGACGCGAAAGCGGGAUGACGGUACCUGAGUAAUAGCACCGGCUAACUCCGUG